UCAAGAACUCUCCUCUCCUCUCUCUCCUCCCGCUCUCCCUCACCAACGGCGACCACAAACCACCCGCUCCUCCUCGCCGUACUGCUCCUCUCGCUAUUCGCCCGCCGGGGGGACUGAAUCUCCGAUCGAGAGCUCGACGCCACCAUCUCCGCCCUCCGGUCGCGCGGUUACCAGUUCUUUGGCGACGCCAUCGCCGCCUCCGACCUUCGUUUUGACCUCCUCCGCCUCAACUCCUCCCACACCCUAUUCGCCCCCACCGACUUUGUCCUCUUUGCGCCUCCGCCGCCGCCGACGUCCGCUCUCUCCGCGACCACGUCGCCCUCCGCCGCCGCCGACGUCCGCCCUCCGCCGCCUCCCGCUUCCCGCCCUACCUCCCUCCCCACCGUCGUUCCCCACCGCGACAUCUCGCCCGCCACCGCCAGCCCCCGAUCGCCGACUUCGCCAUCGCCGUCGUCUGGAACGUCGUCCUCGCCCUCCACCGCCACAAGGCCUCUGGCAGACCCGUUCCUCCCCCAAGACCGCCCGAUCUCCAUCUCCUUCCGUACCCGUCCCUGAUCCGCCGGAUACGCCAGCUCCGGCGCCGUCUCCGAUAGCGAAGCUCUUCCCAAUGUUGCCGGAGGCGCCGAUCCGGGAUCGAGAUCCACGUUUCCGGCGGUGGUUCCCCCGUCCAAUCUGGACGGAAUUUAGCCGCCAAUGGAGCCCGGAGUCGCGCCCAGAGGGAUAUCUUCGGCGAUCGAGGCUCCGAUUACCGGGGAGAUCAUGCAUCUGGGAGGGUAUCCCCCAGAAGGGACGACGAUGAGUUCUCCUGUGGCGAGUCCUACGGGGAUCGUGUCUCCUGAAGGGAGUCCGCCGAAAGGGAUCCAGGUGACGGCGUUUCCGAUGGCGACGGGGUUUCUUGGAACCAAGCCUGAGCUCAUGGAUCGCCGUCCGUGGGGGAGGAAGGGUCCCGCCUCUUCGUUAACUACCGUGGCCGUCCACGCCCGCGUCCGCAUGCCAGCGAUGACGCCUUUUGAUCGAUGAGAUGCCAAUCUUUAGGUCAGUUUUUUUUCCCCUUUUCCUCAUGGACAACAUCUAUCAGGCUUGCUGUUAACCCGGAUUCGGUUCGAUCAUGGAGUCAAGUCGAAAGAAGCCACGGGUUAAAUUCUUGUAUAUCUAUUUGGAGGACCUUAUGCGAUUCAUGAGGGAAGAUGAAGCUCAGAAGACAAUGAGCUUUUUUGAAGGAGCUCAAGAAAAACAAAGGGUUAGCAGGAAGUCUCUCAAGAAUUGGGUGAUUAAUGCAUUCGGAGAACGCAGAGCCCUUUCUUUGACACUGAAUGACAAAAACUGCAGUGAACAAACUCCACCAAAUGGCAAACAUAAUUGUGGGCAUCAUCAUAUUUGCUCUCUGGGCCUUGAAAUCACCCAUUUCUUUUAUCUCAUUAGUUCUCAGGUUUUAUUGGCGGUAUUUGUUUUUGGUAACACUUUGAAGACAGUCUUUGAAGCUAUCAUUUUCUUGUUUGUGAUGCACCCACCCCUUUGAUGUGGGUGAUCGUUGUGAAGUGGAUUGUGUCCAGAUGAUUGUUGAGGAGAUGAAUAUAUUGACAACAAUUUUUCUGAGGUAUGACAACCAGAAGAUAAUUUAUCCGAACAGUGUACUGGCUACCAAAUACAUUGGCAAUUUCUAUCGAAGCCCAGAAUGGGGGAUGCAAUUGACUUCUGUGUUCAUGUUGCAACUCCGGUGGAGAAACUCGCUAUAAUGAGGGAAAGGAUAAUAGGAAGAAUAUCCUCAAAGCAGCAGAAAUAUACAAGCUUUAGUAAAAUAUGAUGCAGCAAGCCCAAGCUAUGACGCUAAUCGUGUUAUCAACCUCCAAAAGACUUUAAUGAGAAAUAGGACGAUCUUAUUAAAUUAUUGAAGCCAUGACAACAGUAGACAAUGCAGAACUUUUUAACAUCAGGACAUGAUGAGAGUAAACAAAGAAGCAUGACUGAUAUCGAAGGACCCUCCCCAUCGCUCGUGGAAACGGAAGCCCAGUGAAGCGCUAGGCCGCCGCCGGACCGGCAAACGCGAGUGCGGCUUCGGCCACAGAGGGAGACGACGUGGAGUGGGGAUGCAGUGACACAACGGCGAAAGGAGGAGGAGCGGCCUCGGCAUCGCAGUAUCCUCUGAGAAUGUCGCCCUCCUAGGGAGUGAAGCCGAGGGACUGGAGCAUCGUGGUCCAGCACUGGCGGGUGAUGACUUGGAUGGCGCGGCAGCAGUCGACUCCCAGGUACGACUCGCCGUUCAUGAAGAAGAGCAAGAUCUCGCCGGUGCAUGAUUUCAGCUCCAGCAGUGCGUUCCAGCAGUCCACUAGCCCUCGUUGGAGGCAAUCCGGGCCUCGAGAGGGCUAAUGGCAGGUUCCAUGGAGGAGAGCUCGCGGGCAUUAGCAAGCCCAAUGAGGCAUGCGAUCACGAAUGAGAGGGCAAGCUUUUGAACGGGCGACAUGUUUGUGGAUCUCCUAAAAGCUUUUUCAAGCAAAGGGAGCGGCAUACAUGAUGGUGUGAGGGUAAGGAAGGUUGUGGCAGGGCAUAUUUAUAGAUGGGAGGAGUAGUGUUGGUAAUUGGAGUCGGAGAGGAAGAGUUUGGGAAAGCGAAAAGUCUCUAACGUUGCGAGACGUUCGGAAUGCCAAAAUGGUAGGAUCGUUUGGGACUGCCAUUUCAAGAGUCAAGACAGUGUAAUGUCUCUCUGUUUGACAAAAACUGAAAUUAUUGCUGUAAGCGUUGAUGGGACCAUUCGCACAUUUGACAUUCGGAUUGGGUAGAGAACUUGUUGACAACUUGGGGCAGUCUGUGAACUGUGUCUCAUUAUCGAAUGAUGAUAACUGUGUCUUACCAAGUUGCUUGGAUUCUACCCUACGUCUGCUGGACAGGUCCACCGGGGAACUUUUGCAAGAAUACAAGGGGCAUACCUGCAAGUCUUACAAGAUGGAUUGCUACCUGGCCAACACUGAUGCACAUGUUCCUGGUGGGUCUGAGGAUGGGUUUAUUUUCUGUUGGGAUUUAGUAGAUGCAUCUGUGGUUUCGAGAUUCCGAGCACAUGCCUCCGUGUCUUUGUAUGCAUGGCAGCAUAAGACAACUUGAAGUACUGGGCCCUUCUUAUGAAGAUGCUAAUAUUUAGCUUAAGGCACAGCCUUGGUAUGCAUGGCAACAUAAAUCAACUAUGAAGUUUCUGGGAUUUUCUUAUUCUUGUAAUAUAAAUUCUGACACAUGCAUCUAUCUUCUUUGUUUAAGUCUUUCAGGUGUUGAGUUAUGCAUAAUUUACUGACUGCCAUUUGAGGCAUGUAAUUUUAGGUGUCCAAACGCGCACACGCAAUGGAGCCAGUCUCAUCAUUAACUUCAUGUGGGAUUCUGGCUAGGUGGCCUUACGCAGUGGUGAGAACUCCAGCCGUGCACCUUCUUGAGAUUUGUUCAAAUCCUAAAAUUCAUGAGUUUGUCCAUUAAGCCUUUUGAUUGUUUGCUUUAGUUUCAGUUUGGGAGGGUGCACCACAACCCCACCCACCACAAGUCCUUAUCAAGUCCUGCAAAUCCCACAGCCCCAAUGCCUGCGACGUUUAUAUCCUAUCAUACUGUUCCUCUUCCAUUAUCACCUUUUCUAUGUUUAACCAAGAUCUAGUAAAUUUCUCUUUCAUAACUAUCAGAAUAUAGAUAAAUUUGUAUUAUAUAUCCUAACGUAGGAUAAGGCGAAGCUAUGCUCAUGCAGUGGAGAUCAGCAGGUGUUCAUUUGAGAUGUCACGACUGGCCGCGUCCUGAGAAAAUUCCGUAGUCAUGAUAGCGAGGUUAGGUUUCUACUUUUUCUUCUUAUACUAUUUUUUUCUUUUCAGAACUCGACUUAGCAUAUGUGAGAGAUAAAUACAUCAUCUUGAUUGAUCUCAUUUUAUAUAUAUUCUCCUUUAACAUGGCAUGGCAAAAGAUUAUGUAUAUUCGAUAGUGCACACAUACAUAGCUCAAACGAUUUUGCAUUAUUAUAACAGAUGUCUAGGAUAUUAGAAAUCUGGUCCACAAAUAUUGGACAUCCUAUACUAGGUUUUCUAUAUUCAUGGUCUUUAGAAGUUCUUGCACUUAGAUCUAGUUAAGAGCUAUUUAAUUUGAGUUUCAUAUAAUCAUUUUUCCAAUAUGAAUUAUUAUACAAUCACAGCAUAUACAGAAUUAUGAAAAACAGAAAAUAUGAAGAUAAAGGAGAAAGAAUUAAUUUUAACAUAGGAUAUAUUUAAAUGGAGCUGAAAAUAUCACAUCACCAACAAAAAGACAACAGUAACACUAUAUAUAACCUUGGAAUCGAUUAAAGAUAUGACAAAGAGUAAAAAAGCUCGCACAAAACAUACUAAGAUUCAUACAAAAUGUGCGCGCAAGUAGCAAAUGGAGGAGAAAAGGAUUGAAAUUCAGUUUGUUUUUUAUUAUUAUACUAGUAAGCUAUAGCUUACCCGAGAAUACCAUCAAUUUAUGAAAAAAUAGUUAAAGUACAUUAUAGAACAUGGUUAUUAAAAUUAAAUGCUUUACUGUAACCUCCAUUUUGGGUCAAAAUACGUUGUUUUGUGGUCACAAUGUAAAUCUAAAUUCUACCAAAAAAUUAUUAUUGUCAAAUUUUUAAUUUGGCCACCCACAACUGAACUAAAGUCAACAAUAGAAUAAUAAUAUUAAAGCAUAAAGAAUUCAAGUUUAGAAAAAUGUCAGAAUAUUGAGUUGUGAAAACAAAAUCAGAUUUAUCACUUCACUGAAAAAAUAGAAGCAAAUUUCAAUAGUGAUGCAAGCAAAGCAGCAAAUUAAAUAAUUUGGAGAUAUAAAAAGUUCUAUAGAAAAUGGAAACAAUCAUAAAACCCUCAAGAAAAUUAACACAACUAGACAACCAUACUAUGUUCCAGAAAAAUAUCAAGUAUUGUAAGUAAUAUCAAGUGAACUAAGUAAGAUGCAUGCAAUAGAUCUCGCCAAUCAAGUGCUAAGUUUCCUUGCAUAUACAUUAAACAAUUCAAACUCACUCUGAGAAUCCACAAGAAGUUCUCCGUUGUUUUAAAAAUAGAAAACAUCCUUAAUAGCCUUGGAUUGUGUUUAAGCUCAGCUUUAUCUAAUUGCUUUAACUCCCCAGCAAGAAAAGCUCAAAGUGUAAGGGUCUAUCUAUCACCACAUUGUCCACCAAGGCAAAAGCAUGCGCACUUAGAGCCAUUCCCUUCAGAAACUACACUAUGCAACACAUCCCUAAGUCAUUAUUUAUAUAAACUGACCAUCUAGUUGAUAGCUGGACCCACUUGACCUUGUUUUAUUUGGAUAGGAAUCAACUAAAUCUGACACAUUAAGAUAUAUAAAAGUUAAUUGAGCUGAAGCCAACUUUAAUUUAUCAGAUAAUAAACACUUUUUUUUCUUUUAACUUUCUACUCUAUGCUUUUGUUAUUCUCUUUGACAUCUGCGGGCGAGACCCUUCAGCAUUAUUUCAUUAUGUCACUGAAAUAGAUAGGUUACCACAGUUUCUCCAAUAGAAAUUAACAAAUAUUAAAAUUCAAGAUCCAUAGACACUUAAAUAAAAAGAAAACUCAUCCCUGAUGUCAAGCACACUAGUCCUACCAAUAAAUUUCAUAUUUGCUAACAAUUUACUUCUGAUUGUUCUUUUUUUUUUUGAAUAUGAGUGAAUUUGCAUAGAGAAGUAGAGAAAAAUUCUAUCUUUUCCUUUGAAAGGAGCAAGAGGUCAUUUCCAACACUUGUUCUUGGAACUCAUCAAGAACUGCUGACGACAUCUUACGAAACCCAUCGGUCUCAGUUAAAGAAGUUAUUUAAACUGGUCAAAAAUAUUGACUGUGUUUUGUAAUAUGUUAUGAUCGAAGACUAGAUUUUUCAAUAAAGAAGACUUUUGUUAAUAAGGAAAUGUGGAUCUUGUUGAUUUUUAGGUUAAUCAUGAUAUGACUAUGUUAUCUUUCUGAUAGAUUUUUCUAUUGUUGAUAUGCUAAAAAAAUUUUUGAGCAUUUCAUGACUAGGGUGAGUUGAUCAUUGGUUAAAUUUGAUCUAAAUUUUUUAGAAACCAAAUAAGUCAUGUGUUAAUUGUUCCCUCUUUAUGAUUUAUAAAUUUAAGCUAAAUUUAAAUCAUUAUGAUAUAUUGAAUCAUGGUAUCAAUACUUUGUGUUCUCGGACUUGCUCUUGUGAAUUGAGGCCAAUCAUUUUUGAAAUAGACCAUUGGUGUCUAAUGACCAUUAUUACAUGUUCAUUUGUGAAUCACAUUUCUAGCCAUAUAAAGAUUUGAUUCUAAUAAGGUUGGUCAUUAUCUUUUAUGGAUCAGCACUCUACCAUGAUAAUUGUAUUGGAUCAAUUUUAUUUCAAGUUCUAUCCCAAAUAUAAUUAAUUUUAGUCGAGCUUAUUGUGAAUUGAUCCCAAUCCAAUUUGGAGUGACCCUGCAUCAAUGUUAGAUUUUAGUUAGACACUUAUCUAGUGCUAAUCUUGCUAGUUUAUAUGAAAUUUUUGAUAAUUGAUCCAAAGCUAUCUAUCACACUGAUUUUGAUCAAGGAAAAUGAGAUCUUGGAUUUUUGUUACUAAAUGGGCUAAGAAUCCUUAAAUUGCAAGGCCUAGAUUCUUCAAAUAUCGAGAGCACAAUUUUUUUAAGGAGGAGAGAAUAUAAAACCAGAUCCGAAAUGGGCCAUAUUAGACUGAAGUCGGCAGGCCCAACCGACUUUAGUCCAAUUUGGAUAGAAGAAGCAGAAUAGAGGACUGCGAAGAAAGGAGGGGAGAAUGUAAGACCAAGUUCGGAAUGGGCCAUAUUGGACUGAAGUCGGCAGGCCCAACCGACUUCAGUCCAAUUUGGAUAGAAGAAGAAGAAUAGAAGAUUGUGAUCGCGAUCCUCUUCUCCACCUUCCUCGAGCGUAAUGGGGGCAGGAUCUGCGAUAGUCCCGCGACCGCAUGAACAGCCGCCGAUCCCACUCAACCGCUGUGAGAAUCGUGGUGGUGAAUGAACCGAUCCCAUUUGGAAACCCUCCUAUAAAAUCCCAUCCCCCUAUGGUUGAUCCACCGCCAAGCAUUCUCCUCCCUCCUCCUCCGAUAGUCGGCGUGCCGCCCUGGCCGAGCGCCACCCCUUAAAAACCCUCCUAUUCUGCUGCUCUAUUUUUUUGACCCAAGUAUUGCUGCUCAUUUUUUCAUUGGGAGCACUAGCGCUGCUGCUGCUAGCCCGUCGGACCAGCUACCCUCGCCCGAGAACCCUCCCCUUCGGCGACACACCGAUGAGCUCCCCUUCCCCUUGAUCUUCUGUUCCUAGAUAAUUUGAGCCUCCUUCCUCUAUCUCGACCCCAAACUGAGGACGCCCCCUAUUUUCCUCUUCUCGCCGGUCGCCGCAGCAGCCGUCGGCCGCUAUUGUUGUCAGUCGCCCAACCCGGUCACCACCGGAUCCUCUCCUCUCUUCCCUCAUCCCUCUUCCUUCUCUUUCUCCUUCCUCCUUGUUUCUGAGUUCAUCGAGAUGAAGAACUCUUUUGGGCCGUCUCCAUCGUGGGCCGAGUUCGGGCCUUGUUCACCAUGUUGGGUCGUGUCCAUUAUUGGCUGAGUUCGGGCCCUGUUCAUCCUGUUGGAUUGUGUCCAUUGUGGGCUGAGUUUAGGCCAUAUUCAUCUUAUUGGGCCUCUCCAUUGUGGGCUGAGUUCAGGCUAUGUUCAUCCUGUUGGGUCGUGUCCACUGUGGGCCAAGUUCAGGCCCUGUUCACCCCGUUGGUUCGUGUCCAUUAUGGGCCGAGUUCGGGCUCUAUUCAUUUUGUUGGGCUAUAUCCAUUGUGAGCCGAGAUCGGGCCUUGUUCAUCCUGUUAGGUCGUAUCCAUUAUGGGAUGAGUCUAUACAUUUUGGGUUCUCUUCAUCCAUUAUGGGCUGUGAUCAUUCGGACCGGAUUCAUUCAUUUUUGGCCCUGCUCAUCUAUUGUGGGUCAUGUUCAUUUUGGGCAGUGUCCAUUCAUUUUGGGUCCAGUUCAUUUAUUGUGGGCUGAGUCUAUUCAUUUUGGGCCAUGUUCAUCCAUUGUGGACCAAGUUCAUUUUGGGUCGUGUCCAUUCAUUUUAGGCCAUGUUUAUCUAUUGUGGGUUGAGUCCAUUCAUUUUGAGCCACGUUCAUCCAUUGUGGGCCGUGUUCAUUCCUUUUGAGCCCUGUUCAUCCAUUGUGGGUCGAGUCCCUUCAUUUUGGACCGUGUUCAUCCCCAUUUUGGGUUAAGAGAAAAAACAAAACUAGCCCCCGACUCUCCUUAAUUGAGUAGAUUUAGACCUUUCUAAUUCUCCUAAUGGUCGACCCGAACCACUCUGAUCGGGUCCGUGAUCAGAAUUAGACCAGACCUAGGGAUCUUAGUUCAAAGUCCUAGCUUCCUUUUUGCUCAGAUCCAAGUUGAUCCCUGGGUGGACGGCUUGCACUGCCUCGAUACCCGAACGAUAGACCGGCCCAUUACUUCAACCCCACCUAAAUUUGUCUAUCUUUGAUCUUCACCAUUUCGGGCCUGGUCUUACAUUCUCCCCUCCUUAAAAAAAUUUCGUCCUUAAAAUUUGAAGAAUCUAAGCCUUCCAAUUUAGAGAUGCUCAGCCCAUUGAGUAACAUAAAUCCAAGAUCUCAUUCUCCUUGAUCAAAAUCAGUGUGAUAGAUAACUUUAGAUCAAUUAUCAAAAAUUUUAUAUAAAUAUGCAAGAUUAGUACUAGAUAAGUGUCUAACUAAAAUCUAAGAUUGAUGUAGGUUCACUCCAUAUCGGAUUGGGAUCAAUUCACAACAAGAUCGACUAAAAUUAAUUAUAUUUGGGAUAGAACUUGAAACAAAAUAGAUCCAAUACAGUUAUUAUGGUAGAGUGCUUAUCCACAAAAGAUAAAGACCAACCUUAUUAGAAUCAAAUUUUUAUAUGGCUAAAAAUGUGAUUCACAAAAUAAACAUGUAAUGAUGGUCAUUAGACACCAAUGGUCUAUUUUAAAAAUUAUUGGCCUCAAUUCAUAAGAGCAAGUCCGAGAAGGCAAAGUACUGAUACCAUGAUUCAAUAUGCCACAAGGAUUUAAAUUUAGCUUAAAUUUUUAACUCAUAAAGAGGGAACAAUUAACACUUGACUUAUUUGAUUUUUAAAAAUUUAGAUCAUAUUUAACCAAUGAUCAACUCACCCUAUUCAUGAAAUACUUAAAAUUUUCUUUAGCAUAUCAACAAUAAAAAAAUCUAUCAGAAAGAUAACAUAGUCAUAUCAUGAUUAACAUGAAAAUCAAUAGUAUUCGCAUUCCCUCGUUAACAAAAGCCUUCUUUAUUGAAAAAUUUAGUCAUCCAUGAUAACAUAUUACAAAACACAGUCAAUAUUUUUGACCAAUUUAAAUGGCUUCCUUAGUUGAGACCGAUGGGUUAUGUAAGGUGCCAUUGGCAGUUCUUGAUGAGUUCCAAGAACAAGUGUUGGAAAAUAACCUCUUACUCCUUUCAAAGAAGAAGGAAGAACUUUUCCCUAAUUCUUUAUUCAAAUUCACUUAUAUUAAAAAAAAAAUCAGAAGUAAAUUGUUAGCAGUUGUGGAAUUUAUUGGUAGGACUAGUGUACUUGACAUCAGAGAUGAGUUUUUAUUUUAUUCAAGGGUCCAUAGACCUUGAAUUUUAUUAUUUGUUAAUAUCUAUUAGAGAAACUGUGGCAAACCACCUAUUUCAUUGACAUAAUGAAAUAAUGCUAAAGGGUCUCACCCUGCAGAUGUCACAGAGAAUAACAAAAGCACAGAGUAGAAAGUUAAGAGAAAAGAAGUGUUUAUUAUUUGAUAAAUUAAAGUUGGUUUCAGCUCAAUUAACUUUUAUAUAUCUUAAUGUGUCAGAUUUAGUUAAUUCUUGUCCAAAUGAAACAAGGCCAAGUGGGUCCAGCUAUCAACUAAAUGGUCAGUUUAUAUAAAUAAUGACUUAAGGAUGUGUUGCCUAGUGCAGUUUCUGGAGAAAAUGGCUCCAAGUGUACAUGCUUUUGCCUUGGUGGAACAAUGUGGUGGUAGAUAGACCCUUAUACUUUGAACUUUUCUUGCUGGAGAACUCAAAACAAUUAGAUAAAGUUGAACCUGAACAUAAUCCAAGGCUAUUGAGGAUGCUUUCUAUAUUUAAAACAACGGAGAGCUUCUUGUGGAUUCUUAGAGCGAGUUUGAAUUGUCUAAUGUAUAUGCAUGGAAAUUUGGCACUUGAUUGGUGAGAUCUAUUGCAUGCAUCUUGCUUAGCUCACUUGAUAUUACUUAAAAUACUUUGAUAUUUUUUUGGAACAUAGCAUGGUUGUCUAGUCGUGUUAAUUUUCUUUGGGGGUUUUAUAAUUGUUUUCAUUUUCUAUAAGACUUUUUAUGUCUCCGAAUUAUUUAAUUUGAUGCUUUGCCUAUGUCACUAUUGGAACUUGCUUUCAUUUUUUCAUUGAAGUGAUAAAUCUGAUUUUAUUUUCACAACUCAAUAUUGUGACAUUUUCUUGAAUUUGAAUUCUUUAUGCUUUAAUAUUAUUAUGCUAUUGUUGACUUUAAUUCAGUCGUGGGUGGCCAAAUUAAAAAUUUGACAAUAAUAUUUUUCUAGUAGACUUUAUUUACAUUGUGACCACAAAUCAAGGUAUUUUGACCCAAAAUGGAGGUUAUUAUGAAGCAUUUAAUUUAGAUAAGAUGUUCUACAAUGUAAUUUAACUAUUUUUUCAUAAAUUGGUGACAUUCUUGGGUAAGCUAUAGCUUACUAAAAUAAUAAAAAGAAAAACAAAUUGAAUUUUAAUCCUCUUCUCCUUCAAUUGCUAGCGCACAUUUUGUACAAAUCUUAGUAUGUUCUGUGCCACAUUUUUUACUCUUUGCCAUAUCUUUGAUCGAUUCCAAGGUUAUAUAUAGUGUUAGUGUUGUCUUUUUGUUAGUGAUGUGAUAUUUUCAGCUCUAUUAAAUAUAUCCCAUGUUAAAUUUAAUUCUUUCUCCUUUAUCUUUAUAUUUUCUAUCUUUCAUAAUUUUAUAUAUGCUAUGAUUGUAUAAUAACUCAUAUUGGAAAAUGAUUAUAUGAAACUUAGAUUAAAUAGCUCUUAACUAGAUCUAAAUGCAAGAACUUCUAGAGACCACGAAUAUAGAAAAUCUAGUACGAUAUGUCUAAUAUUUGUGGACCAGAUUUCUAAUAUCCUAGACAUAUGUUAUAAUAACGCAAAAUCGUUCGAGCUGUUUGUGUGUGCACUAAUCAGAUAUACAAAAUCUUUUGCCAUGCCAUGUCGAAGGAGAAUAUAUAUGAAAUGAGAUCAAUUAGGAUGACGUAUUUAUCUCUCACAUAUCCUAAGUCGAGUUUUGGAAAGAAAAAAUAGUAUAAUUCACAAAAUAAGAAGAAAAAGUAGAAACCUAACCUCGCUUUCAUGACUAUGGAAUUUUUUGAUGAUGCGGCCAGUCGUGAUAGCACAAAAGAAUACCCGCCGAUCUCUGCUGUACGAGCAUAGCUUUGCCUUAUCCUGUGUUAGGAUAUAUAAUACAAAUUUAUCUAUAUUUUGGUAGUUAUAAAAGAGAAAUUUACUAGGUCAUGGUUAAACAUAGGAAAGGUCAUAAUGGAAGAGGAAUAAUAUGAUAUGCUUACGGACGUCGCAGGCUUCGCGGCUGUGGGAUUUGCAGGGCUUGAUAAGGAUUGUGGUGGAUGGGGUUGUGGUGCAGUACUUGCCGGAGCUCAGGCAGCAGUGGAUGCACCUGUCGAAUUGGAUGGCCAGCACCGCUCCCCUAUGCCCCUUCAGUACGUUCGCUCUCUCGAGUUGAUCCCUCGGUGGCCGCGGGAACCGGAACAUGACACCAAAUCAGUGCGAGGCUCAUACUCGACGCCCAGUCUGGGACUCGUAAAAAAUCAAUGGCUUAGCAAUGGAUAUUCUAUAACUACGAAUCCUUGCAUUUUUCCUAUCUAAAUAAAUGAUGGAGCAUGCAGAAUUGAGUGGUAGCUCAGACUUAUCCCUAUGCUUGUUUAUUCUCUUAAGAGGUGAUAUCUUCCAAGAACUUCAGUCUCAAAUACUCUUCCAGAAAAAAUCCAGAGUUUGGAUCCCUAAUAGAAUGGGCAACACUUAGAUGCAUCCCGGUCUUUAUAAGUGACGCUGGAGCGGUGGGUCAAAAAUCCGUUGGGUCAAAAAUUGUAGCGGUGGACCUGACCCGAUCUUCUAUUGGGUUGGGUCUGGGUCCAAAAUUAGGACCCGAACAAGAAACCAGAUUGGAUUGGGAUCACUUAUGAUCCGACCCGACCUAUUUGUACUCCUAGUAUUAUGUUGUUAGAUGACUAAUUUGCUAAGUGUAUAUCAUCUGACCGUGUACUAUAUACUAGUGAAUGCUAUAUUCUAGAAACUAUGUAUUAAUUUGUCUAUAUGUGUGUAUUGGCUUGCUAAAU